rnacentral:rRNA from 1 species
UAAAAUUUAUAAAAUUAGGUAGUAAAGAAGUUUCUGAAACCUAAAGAAUUUGGCGGUACUUUAAAUAAUUGGAGGAACCUGUUAUUUAAUUGACAAUCCACAACAAAUCUUUCCUAAAUUUUAUUUGUAUAUCGUCGUUUUGAUAAUAUUUAAAAGUUAUAAUCAAUUACAAUAAAUUUUUAAAAAUCAGAUCAAGGUGCAGUAUAUUUAGGGUAUAAUGGGUUACAAUAUAAUUAUAUAGACGAAUGUAAAUUUGAAAAUAUAUUGAAGGUGGAUUCAAAAGUAAUAUUAAAAUAAAAUGUUAAUUUGAUUUAUAAUUUAAAAUAUGC